UUACUGGAACUACUCAGUGAUGAGGAAUGAAUGUGAGGCUGCUAGAAUUAAUCAAUAAUUUAAAAACAACAUUCGUUAUCGGAAGUAACGCAAGUUCCUCAAUUUCAUAUAUUUUCUUUGGUCAUUAUAGGACUGGGUCUGGAAAACUUGAACUGAACCAUAUUUUGUAGUACCUAUUUGCAUAUAAGUUAACAGCAUAGAUAGUAGAUAGCAAUAACACAUAGCGGUGAUGCUAACGAUUAUGAUACCAAACGUGUCGAAAGACCUGAUUAUUUUUGGAUGUGCGGCUAAGCAAAAGAGUAAGAAGAGUUUCCAUCUUGUUAAAAAUUUUGUGGAUCCAUAACAUAGAAAUCUUCGUAUUAACAAUAUUGAACUUAAUGACUUUUGGCAAUAAACAUAUUCUGCAUAAUUUCUA